rnacentral:rRNA from 1 species
GACGAACGCUGGCGGCGUGCUUAACACAUGCAAGUCGAACGAGUGGCGAACGGGUGAGUAAUACGUGGGUAACCUGCCCCCUUCUUGGGAUAAGCCUUGGAAACGGGGUCUAAUACCGCAUACGGGGGAUGGGCUCGCGGCCUGUCAGCUUGUUGGUGGGGUGAUGGCCUACCAAGGCGGUGACGGGUAGCCGGCCUGAGGGGGUGACGGGCCAGAUUGGGACAGGGGAACGGCCAAGACGGCUACGGGAGGCAGCAGUGGGGAAUGUUGCGCAGUCGGAGCAAGCCAGGUGCAGCGAGGCCGGAUGGGGGAUGAAGGCUAUAGAGUUGUAGUCCUCUUUCACUAUCGAGCGGGUAGGUAAAGAAGAAGCGCCGGCUAACUACGUGCCAGCAGCCGCGGUAAUAC